rnacentral:rRNA from 1 species
CUACGGGGCGCAGCAGUGGGGAAUAUUGGACAAUGGGGGAAACCCUGAUCCAGCAAUGCCGCGUGUGUGAAGAAGGCCUGCGGGUUGUAAAGCACUUUCGGUUGGGAGGACUGCUUCUAGCACUAAUAUUGUUGGAAGUUGACGUUACCUUCAGAAGAAGCACCGGCUAACUCCGUGCCAGCAGCCGCGGUAAUACGGGGGUGCAAGCGUUACUCGGAAUUACUGGGCGUAAAGCGCGCGUAGGCGGCUAGAUCAGUCGGGUGUGAAAGCCCCGGGCUUAACCUGGGAACUGCAUCCGAUACUGUCUAGCUUGAGUACAGGAGAGGAGAGUGGAAUUCCACAUGUAGCGGUGAAAUGCGUAGAUAUGUGGAGGAACACCAAUGGCGAAGGCAGCUCUCUGGCCUGAUACUGACGCUGAGGUGCGAAAGCGUGGGGAGCAAACAGGAUUAGAUACCCUUGUAGUC